GAGCACUUUUUGCUGGAACAAAGCAACCACUUUGAGCCAUAAUGGCGCUAAGUGCUAAUUGUUUAACAAAAGAACUUUUUCCGCCCAUAUUUGGGCCCGUAAUUAACAAACACCUGACACCAUCAGAACUUAGAUGAAUAUGGUUAGGUACAAAAGAUUUAUCACUUAGCAAUUCAAUCAUUGGAUGUCGAGAUUCAUGUAUUAACAGCUCCUUAUCUGAAAAUUCUGGCCUUGUAUAACCCGAUUGAGAAGAAAUCC